AUUGAACGCUAGCGGGAUGCUUUACACAUGCAAGUCGAACGGCAGCGCGGACUUCGGUCUGGCGGCGAGUGGCGAACGGGUGAGUAAUGUAUCGGAACGUGCCCAGUAGCGGGGGAUAACUACGCGAAAGCGUAGCUAAUACCGCAUACGCCCUACGGGGGAAAGCAGGGGAUCGUAAGACCUUGCACUAUUGGAGCGGCCGAUAUCGGAUUAGCAAGUUGGUGAGGUAACGGCUCACCAAGGCGACGAUCCGUAGCUGGUUUGAGAGGACGACCAGCCACACUGGGACUGAGACACGGCCCAGACUCCUACGGGAGGCAGCAGUGGGGAAUUUUGGACAAUGGGGGCAACCCUGAUCCAGCCAUCCCGCGUGUGCGAUGAAGGCCUUCGGGUUGUAAAGCACUUUUGGCAGGAAAGAAACGUCGCGGGCUAAUACCCCGUGGAACUGACGGUACCUGCAGAAUAAGCACCGGCUAACUACGUG
rnacentral:rRNA from 1 species